CGAAGCCUGACGGAGCAAUACCGCGUGAGGGAAGAAGGCUUUUGGGUUGUAAACCUCUUUUGUCAGGGAAGAAGAAUUGACGGUACCUGAAGAAAAAGCAUCGGCUAACUCCGUGCCAGCAGCCGCGGUAAUACGGAGGAUGCAAGCGCUAUCCGGAAUCAUUGGGCGUAAAGGGUCCGCAGGUGGCGAAUAAAGUCUGCUGUUAAAGACCGGGGCUAAACUCCGGAAAGGCAGUGGAAACUGAUUAGCUAGAGUACGGUAGGGGUAGAGGGAAUUCCCAGUGUAGCGGUGAAAUGCGUAGAUAUUGGGAAGAACACCGGUGGCGAAAGCGCUCUACUAGGCCGAAACUGACACUGAGGGACGAAAGCUAGGGUAGCGAAAGGGAUUAGAUACCCCUGUAGUCUUAGCGGUAAACGAUGGAUACUAGGUGUAGCUUGUAUCGACCCGAGCUGUGCCGAAGCUAACGCGAUAAGUAUCCCGCCUGGGGAGUACGCACGCAAGUGUGAAACUCAAAGGAAUUGACGGGGGCCCGCACAAGCGGUGGAGUAUGUGGUUUAAUUCGAUGCAACGCGAAGAACCUUACCAGGGCUUGACAUGUCGCGAAUCUAGCGGAAACGUUAGAGUGCCUUAGGGAAUGCGAACACAGGUGGUGCAUGGCUGUCGUCAGCUCGUGUCGUGAGAUGUUGGGUUAAGUCCCGCAACGAGCGCAACCCUCGUCCUUAGUUGCCAAUAUUAAGUUAGGCACUCUAGGGAGACUGCCGGGGACAACUCGGAGGAAGGUGGGGAUGACGUCAAGUCAGCAUGCCCCUUACGUCCUGGGCGACACACGUACUACAAUGGUUGGGACAAAGGGCAGCAAGCUCGCGAGAGUAAGCGAAUCUCAUCAAACCCAGCCACAGUUCAGAUUGCAGGCUGCAACUCGCCUGCAUGAAGUAGGAAUCGCUAGUAAUCGCAGGUCAGCAUACUGCGGUGAAUUCGUUCCCGGGCCUUGUACACACCGCCCGUCACACCAUGGAAGCUGGCUACGCCCGAAGUCGUUACCCUAACCCGGUUUUGGGAGGGGGAUGCCGAAGGUAGAGCUAGUGACUGGGGUGAAGUCGUAACAAGGUAGCCGUACCGGAAGGUGUGGCUGGAUCACCUCCUUU
rnacentral:rRNA from 1 species